CUGACGAGUCCCAAACAGGACGAAAUGCGCAUC
rnacentral:hammerhead_ribozyme from 1 species